UACGUAGGGGCCAAGCGUUAUCCGGAAUUACUGGGCGUAAAGCGUACGUAGGCGGUUUGUUAAGUUGGGUGUGAAAUCCUGCGGCUCAACCGUAUGGACUAUGUCCAAAACUGACAGACUCGAGCAUAGUAGAGGCAAGUGGAACUUGCGGUGUAGGAGUGACAUCCGUAGAUAUCGCAAAGAACACCAAUGGCGAAGGCAGCUUGCUGGGCUAUUGCUGACGCUGAGAGUACGAAAGCGUGGGGAGCGAACGGG
rnacentral:rRNA from 1 species